GCAGGGGCGGUGCCCUUUGGACCGCCCACCCCUCGCCCCCGGCCCUGGAACUGGGCCUCUUCGCCUCUCCCACUUUGUAUCUGGUCCAUCCUCUCAGCCUGAUCACCUUGAUGACCCUCACCUGACAGAUUACCCAGCCGUGGACUGCCCAGCUGAAAGAGACCAUGGAUUUUUUUUUUUUUUUAAAACACGUUAUACAGCAAUCCUCCAGAGGAUGCAGCAACAAGACACCAUCUUGGAAGCAGAGCAGCCCUCACCAGGCACCAAACCGGCCAGCACAUUGAUCUUCGACUUCCCAGCCUCCAGAACUGUGAAGAAUAAAUUUCUAUUGUUUAUAAA